CUCCUCUCAGAGUCGCACCUGGAGAGUUUCCAGUACUCUACCAGUAUCAGCUUCAGGAGGGAGAGUCAAGCAGGGGCACACCAAUUCCAUUCCUAGCAUGGACAGUGGCUAGCGAGUGGAAGGCAAUCUGCUACAAGA